AUGGAUUCUCGGCCUUUUGGGUAAGAUCAAGUGUAGUCUCUGUUCUUACCAGUUUAAGAAGAUAAAAAGAGAACAGGGGAGAAGGAAACAAUGGGGUUGCUACAAAAACCAGAGCAAGGUAAAGGGCUCUCACUGGACAGGAAGGAACAGGGCUAGGACACACACAAAGGUUUGUUUGUUUGUUUGUUUAUUUAUUUGAUUUAUUUAUUAUUU
ensembl:snRNA U2 U2 spliceosomal RNA